rnacentral:rRNA from 1 species
UNUGACUUGAGUGCAGAAGGGGAGAGUGGAAUUCCAUGUGUAGCGGUGAAAUGCGUAGAUAUAUGGAGGAACACCAGUGGCGAAAGCGGCUCUCUGGUCUGUCACUGACGCUGAGGCUNGAAAGCGUGGGUAGCGAACAGGAUUAGAUACCCUGGUAGUNCACGCCGUAAACGAUGAGUGCUAGGUGUUAGGCCCUUUCCGGGGCUUAGUGCCGGAGCUAACGCAAUAAGCACUCCGCCUGGGGAGUACGACCGCAAGGUUGAAACUCAAAGGAAUUGACGGGGGCCCGCACAAGCGGUGGAGCAUGUGGUCUAAUUCGAAGCAACGCGAAGAACCUUACCAGGUCUUGACAUCCCGAUGCUAUUCUUAGAGAUAGGAAGUUACUUCGGUACAUCGGAGACAGGUGGUGCAUGGUUGUCGUCAGCUCGUGUCGUGAGAUGUUGGGUUAAGUCCCGCAACGAGCGCAACCCUUAUUGUUAGUUGCCAUCAUUAAGUUGGGCACUCUAGCGAGACUGCCGGUAAUAAACCGGAGGAAGGUGGGGAUGACGUCAAAUCAUCAUGCCCCUUAUGACCUGGGCUACACACGUGCUACAAUGGUCGGUACAACGAGUUGCGAGCCGGUGACGGCAAGCUAAUCUCUGAAAGCCGAUCUCAGUUCGGAUUGGAGGCUGCAACUCGCCUCCAUGAAGUCGGAAUCGCUAGUAAUCGCGGAUCAGCACGCCGCGGUGAAUACGUUCCCGGGCCUUGUACACACCGCCCGUCACACCACGAGAGUUUGUAACACCCGAAGUCGGUGAGGUAACCUUUUAGGGNCCA